rnacentral:tRNA from 1 species
AGUAAGUAGCUCAGUGGUAAAGUAUUUAUCUCACAAAUGUGAGGCCCUGGGUUCAAUCCCCAACUUUGCUG